UUACCACUCUGGCCUUUUGGCUUAGAUCAAGUGUAGUAUCUGUUCUUUAUAGUUUAACAACUAUAACGACCCUAUGGGGUCUGUUCGUUGUUAUCUUAUUUUUGACAGCCCGUGUCGCGUUCGUGGGCUUGCUCUCGGCGCUUCGCACGAUGACCUUGCCACUGCACUCCCGGCUUGUGUCGUCAGGGCCCC
rfam:Auricularia subglabra TFB-10046 SS5 ATRDEscaffold_50_Cont1571, whole genome shotgun sequence.